GGACUACUGGGGUAUCUAAUCCCGUUCGCUACCCUAGCUUUCGUGCAUGAGCGUCAGAUAAGACCCAGUACGCCGCUUUCGCCACCGGUGUUCCUUAGGAUAUCAACGCAUUUCACCGCUCCACCCUAAGUUCCGCGUACCUCUGCCUUCCUCGAGUACGGUAGUUUCAGGCGCAAUUCCCCAGUUGAGCUGGGGGAUUUCACACCCGACUUUCCGCACCGCCUACGCACCCUUUAAGCCCAGUAAUUCCGAAUAACGUUAGCAAGGUUCGUCUUACCGCGGCUGCUGGCAC
rnacentral:rRNA from 3 species